GACGGAGGAUGCAAGCGUUAUCCGGAAUGAUUGGGCGUAAAGCGUCCGCAGGUGGCAGUUCAAGUCUGCUGUCAAAGACCGGGGCUUAACUUCGGAAAGGCAGUGGAAACUGAACAGCUAGAGUAUGGUAGGGGCAGAGGGAAUUCCUGGUGUAGCGGUGAAAUGCGCAGAUAUCAGGAAGAACACCCGUGGCGAAGGCGGCUCUCUGGGCCGAUACUGACGCUGAGGAGCGAAAGCGUGGGGAGCAAACAGG
rnacentral:rRNA from 1 species